UUCUUUCAUUCUAUUUGAUUUCUUGGAUAAGUAAGCUUAAGAGGAGGAGAGUUCUGAUUGGGAGAACUCUGAGAACUCUGAGAGGGAAGUAUGCUUAAUGAAUAACUUGACUACCUCACCAACUGCCAACCUGGAGACCUUUGAUAUAGUCAGUGAUUUAUUCUGUAAUGGUAGGUAGCAUCAGAGAAAUAAGCUGGGUGAAUGAUGCCUAUUAUUUAUAGAAGACCAGUGUGAUUGAAUGCUAAAGCCUCCUAAAUGUGAGGCUUAGAGAAACAUUGCUGUGUACCUUAUGAAGGAUUUAAUUCUUCCUAUGACCGUAUCGCAAGAUGUUAAUCAGAUUAUUCUUUAAAACAAUCUGAGACUGAAGAGUAAGAAAAACUAUUUCGUAUUUCCUGAAAAAUGACACUGAAGUAGCAUGUUCCUUUAUGCUGUUAGAGCAAUAAGGGAGCCUAAGUAUCUUAUGGAGAUAUUGGGGAAAGCAAUGUAAUUUUUGUAUUUUUAGUAGAGACAAGGUUUCACCAUGUGGGCCAGGCUAGUCUGGAACUCCUGACCUCAAGUGAUCCACCCACUUUGGCCUCUUUUGUAGAGACUGGGUCUCAGUAUGUUGCCCAGGCUGGUCUUGAACCCCUUGGCUCAAGCGAUCCUCCCUCCUUGACCUCCG
rnacentral:lncRNA from 1 species